rnacentral:rRNA from 1 species
UCCGUAGGUGAACCUGCGGAAGGAUCAUUAUAGAAAUAUAAUUUUUCGUUGCUUUGCUCUCAGAGACACUACACUGCUGGACCAGCGCUUAGUUGCGCGGUACGGCGGGUCUCUGGGGCUCAGUAGCACUAUUACACACCGUGGAGAUUUUUUAUAAUUCUUUGCAUGCUUCUUUGGGCAGCUCCGGCCGCCCAGGGGUAACAAACACAAACAAUUUUGUAAUUUUAUGAACCAGUCAAAACCAGAAUUCCAGGAAGAUUUAUCUUUUUGUAAUGUUAAAACAAAUAUUAAAACUUUCAACAACGGAUCUCUUGGUUCUCGCAUCGAUGAAGAACGCAGCGAAAUGCGAUACGUAAUGUGAAUUGCAGAAUUCCGUGAAUCAUCGAAUCUUUGAACGCACAUUGCGCCCCUUGGUAUUCCAGGGGGCAUGCCUGUUUGAGCGUCAUUUCCUUCUCAAACAGCAAUGUUUGGUUGUGAGUGAUACUCUUUCGGAGUUAGCUUGAAAUUGCUGGCCGAUGGCUGUUGUGGUUGAGUGUCUUCCCUCGGGGAGAGCGCUUGCUGCGUUAAGGGACGUCCUGCUGGACAUCUUCGUAUUAGGUUUUACCAACUUCGAAGAGGGCUAGCGGGGAGUUCUGCAGUGAGUGUAGUGCUUUAGCUACUGUUGCACCAUGGCGAACAGUGUUCUUUUAAGUUUGACCUCAAAUCAGGUAGGAUUACCCGCUGAACUUAAGCAUAUCAAUAGGCGGGAGGA